AACGUAGCUUGCUACCGGACCUAUCGGCGGACGGGUGAGUAAUGCUUAUGAAUCUGCCUAUUACUGGGGGACAACAUCUCGAAAGGGAUGCUAAUACCGCAUACGUCCUACGGGAGAAAGCAGGGGAUCUUCGGACCUUGCGCUAAUAGAUGAGCCUAAGUCGGAUUAGCUAGUUGGUGGGGUAAAGGCCUACCAAGGCGACGAUCUGUAUCGGGUCUGAGAGGAUGAUCCGCCACACUGGGACUGAGACACGGCCCAGACUCCUACGGGAGGCAGCAGUGGGGAAUAUUGGACAAUGGGGGGAACCCUGAUCCAGCCAUGCCGCGUGUGUGAAGAAGGCCUUAUGGUUGUAAAGCACUUUAAGCGAGGAGGAGGCUACUUUAGUUAAUACCUAUGGAUAGUGGACGUUACUCGCAGAAUAAACACCGGCUAACUCUGUGCCAGCAGCCGCGGUAAUACAGAGGGUGCGAGCGUUAAUCGGAUUUACUGGGCGUAAAGCGUGCGUAGGCGGCUUAUUAAGUCGGAUGUGAAAUCCCCGAGCUUAACUUGGGAAUUGCAUUCGAUACUGGUGAGCUAGAGUAUGGGAGAGGAUGGUAGAAUUCCAUGUGUAGCGGUGAAAUGCGUAGAGAUCUGGAGGAAUACCGAUGGCGAACGCAGCCAUCUGGCCUAAUACUGACUCUGAGGUACGAAAGCAUGGGG
rnacentral:rRNA from 1 species